CCUACGGGGUGCUGCAGUGAGGAAUAUUGGUCAAUGGACGAGAGUCUGAACCAGCCACGUAGCGUGAAGGAUGACUGCCCUAUGGGUUGUAAGCUUCUUUUAUAUGGGAAUAAAAUGUUCCACGUGUUGAAUUUUGUAUGUACCAUAUGAAUAAGGAUCGGCUAACUCCGUGCCAGCAGCCGCGGUAAUACGGAGGAUCCGAGCGUUAUCCGGAUUUAUUGGGUUUAAAGGGAGCGUAGGUGGAUUGUUAAGUCAGUUGUGAAAGUUUGCGGCUCAACCGUAAAAUUGCAGUUGAAACUGGCAGUCUUGAGUACAGUAGAGGUGGGCGGAAUUCGUGUUGUAGCGGUGAAAGGCUUAGAUAUCACGAAGAACCCCGAUUGCGAAGGCAGCUCACUGGACUGCAACUGACACUGAGGCUCGAAAGUGUGGGUAUCAAACAGGAUUAGAUACCCGAGUAGUC
rnacentral:rRNA from 1 species